rnacentral:lncRNA from 1 species
GCCAAACCUCUAGGACUAUCCCGGAGGGGUGCUUUCAGGCCUGCCACUGUGGCAAUGCACAAACUUGGACAUUUUCAGAAGUUCACUGAGCUUCAGAUUCGCAAACUCUCCUUCCAGAGUCUGGUGCGAGAAACUGCUCAGAACUUCAAAACAGAUAGUGAGGCCUAUCUGCUUGGCCUUUUUGAAGACACCAACCUGUGUGCUAGUGGUGCCAAACAUGUAACAAUUAUGCCAAAAUAUAUCCAGCCCGCACUCCAGAUAUAUGGAGGGCAUGCU